rnacentral:rRNA from 1 species
GACGAACGCUGGCGGCGUGCUUAACACAUGCAAGUCGAGCGAUGAAGCACCUUCGGGUGUGAAUUAGCGGCGAACGGGUGAGGAACACGUGAGAAAUCUGCCUUCAACACUGGGAUAACUCCGGGAAACCGGGGCUAAUACCGGAUAUGAAACCUGCGGGCAUCCGCGGGUUUGGAAAGUUUUUCGGUUGAAGAUGAUCUCGCGGCCUAUCAGCUUGUUGGUGAGGUAAUGGCUCACCAAGGCGACGACGGGUAGCCGGCCUGAGAGGGCGACCGGCCACACUGGGACUGAGACACGGCCCAGACUCCUACGGGAGGCAGCAGUGGGGAAUAUUGGGCAAUGGAGGAAACUCUGACCCAGCGACGCCGCGUGCGGGAUGAAGGCCUUCGGGUUGUAAACCUCUUUCAGCACCGACGAAGCGCAAGUGACGGUAGGUGCAGAAGAAGGACCGGCCAACUACGUGCCAGCAGCCGCCGUAA